CUGGCUGGCUGGCUGGCGGGCUGGCUGGCGGGCGGGCGGAACAAGCUUGUCCGGGCCAUAACUAUGUCGUUCAUUGUCAGAUUUUAAAAUCAUUUGGCACAUUUGUUCAGCAUCAUUGGACGGUGUGUCGUGCGAAAUAAUUACGUCGAUAUCUCCAAGGUCAAGGUCACACUUUGAGUUCAAAGGUCAAAAAUGGCCAUAAAUGAGCUUGUCCUGGCCAUAACUAUGUCAUUCAUUGUGAGAUUUUAAAAUCAUUUGGCACAUUUGUUCACCAUCAUGGGACGGUGUGUCGCACGAAAGAAUCACGUCAAUAUCUCUAAUGUCAAGGUCGUCACGACUAAAAAUAGAUUAAAAAAAAAAAAAAAACUUACAAAGGGGGUUAAUUUUGUUUGUUCAUUUCAAAAGUUCAGUUUGAGUUUUCUCCCUUUAUCAGAUUUUUUUUCACAAUGAAAACCUGGUUUUGUGACAAUUUUGUCCCUUGUCUCUUCUUGACAUUCAACAGAUGGAAGUCUCUGUUAUUGAUGCAAGCUUGAACAUUUAUAUUUGCAUUUAAAAUGUUCUGGUUCAUCUGUAAAUGUAAGAAGUAACAAUAAACAAAAUAUUCUGUGGCUACUAUAGAUUUAAUUCGGAACUCACGCGCUGUGGGUUUUUUCCGAUUUCUGAGCACGCGCGGGAGGUACGAACAUUGUCAUUAAUUCAGUAAUGACCAGUAACGUCGAUAUCCGAUUUGCUUCCCAUUCAGUAGUGGAUAAUAAGUAUUUAAACAACAGUAGUGUUUCUUUUAGGGAAUGUCAAAAUUCAAGUCUUUUGUUGUUAUUACUAUUAUUAUUAACAUAGGCACUCGAUGUCAAUGACUGUUGUUUUUUAGCUCACCUGUCACGAAGUGACAUGGUGAGCUUAUGUGACCGUGUGAUGUCCGGCAUCCGGUGUGUGUGCGUGCGUGUGUGCGUGCGUCCGGCAACAAUUUCAUGAAAAACUAGGUCACUAGGUCAAAAACUAGGUCAAAUAAUUGAAAAACCUUGUGUAGACAAUAGAGGUCGCAGUUUUCAUCCAAUCAUUAUGAAAUUUGGUCAGAAUGUUUAUCUUAAUGAAAUCUGGGUUGGAAUUGUAUUUGGGUCAUCUGAGGUUAAAAACUAGGUCACUAGGUCAAAUAAUAGAAAAACCGUCAACAAUUUGUUUGUGUAGACAGUAGAGGCCACAGUUUUCAUCCAAUCUUUAUGAAAUUUGGUCAGAAUGUUUAUCUUGAUAAAAUCUGGAUUGGGAUUGUAUUUGGGUCAUCUGGGGUCAAAAACUAGGUCACUAGGUAAAAAACUAGGUCAAAUAAUAGAAAAACCUUGUGUACACAAUAGAGGUCGCAGUUUUCAUCCAAUCUUUAUGAAAUUUGGUCAGAAUGUUUAUCUUGAUGAAAUCUGGGUUGGGAUUGUAUUUGGGUCAUCUGAGGUUAAAAACUAGGUCACUAGGUCAAAUAAUAGAAAAACCGUCAACAAUUUGUUUGUGUAGACAGUAGAGGUCACAGUUUUCAUCCAAUCUUCAUGAAAUUUGGUCAGAAUGUUUAUCUUGAUGAAAUCUGGGUUGGGAUUGUAUUUGGGUGAUCUGGGGUCAAAAAUUAGGUCAAUAGGUCAAAUAAUAGAAAAACCUUGUUUAGACAAUAGAGGUCACAGUUUUCAUCCAAUCUUUAUGAAAUUUUAUCAGAAUGUUUAUCUUUAUGAAAUCUGAGUUGGGAUUGUAUUUGGGUCACCUGGGGUCUAAAACUUGGUCAAUAGGUCAAAUAUUAGAAAAACCUUGUGUAGUCAAUAGAGGUCACAGUUUUAAUCCAAUCUUUAUGAAAUUUGGUCAGAAUUUUUAUCUUGAUGAAAUCUGGGUUGGGAUUGUAUUUUGUUAGUCAGGUGAGCGAUUCAGGGCCAUCAUGGCCCUCUUGUUUUAAUUUAUUGAUUUAUUAUGCCCCCCUUCAAAGAAGAGGGGGUAUAUUGCUUUGCUCAUGUCGGUCUGUCGGUCCGUCGGUCUGUCGGUCUGUCUGUCGGUCCGUCCACCAGGUGGUUGUCAGACGAUAACUCAAGAACGCUUGGGCCUAGGAUCAUGAAACUUCAUAGGUACAUUGAUCAUGACUCGCAGAUGACCCCUAUUGAUUUUGUGGUCACUAGGUCAAAGGUCAAGGUCACGGUGACCCGAAAUAGUAAAAUGGUUUUUGAAUGAUAACUCAAGAACACAUACGCCUAGGAUCAUGAAACUUCAUGGGUAGAUUGAUCAUGACCUGCAGAUGACCCCUAUUGAUUUUGAGGUCACUAGGUCAAAGGUGAAGGUCACGGUGACCCGAAAUAGUAAAAUGGUUUUCGGAUGAUAUCUCAAGAACGCAUAUGCCUAGGAUCAUGAAACUUCAUCGGUAGAUUGAUCAUGACUUGCAGAUGACCCCUAUUGAUUUUGAGGUCACCAGGUCAAAGGUCAAGGUCACGAUGACCCGAAAUAGUAAAAUGAUUUUCGGAUAAUAACUCAAGAACGCUUUUGCCUAGGAUCAUGACACUUCAUAGGUACAUUGAUUGUGACCUGCAGAUGACCCCUAUUGAUUUUCAGGUCACUAGGUCAAAGGUCAAGGUCACAGUAACAAAAAACAUAUUCACACAAUGGCUGUCACUACAACGGAGGGCCCAUAUGGGGGGCAUGCAUGUUUUACAAACAGCCCUUGUUUAUUUUUAGUUACCUGUUGUUUAUUAUAAUGCAUACACAUACUAAAUUAAUAAAAAUCU